rnacentral:tRNA from 1 species
CCUCUCAUGGCGUAGUGGUUAACGCGCCCCAACUAGAGAUCGGGGAGUCGUGAGUUCGAUUCUCACUGAAAAGA